AGAACGAACGCUGGCGGCAUGCCUAAUACAUGCAAGUCGAACGAAGGCUUCGGCCUUAGUGGCGCACGGGUGCGUAACGCGUGGGAAUCUGCCCUCGGUUCGGAAUAACAGUUGGAAACGACUGCUAAUACCGGAUAGAUGACGAAAGUCCAAAGAUUUAUCGCCAAGGGAUAGAGCCCGCGUAGGAUUAGCUAGUUGGUGAGGUAAAGGCUCACCAAGGCACGAUCCUUAGCUGGUCUGAGAGGAUGAUCAGCCACGACUGGGACUGGAGACACCGGCCAGACUCCUACGGGAGCAGCAGUACGGGAAUAGUUGGAACAAGUGGGACGAAAGCCUAGA
rnacentral:rRNA from 1 species